CCUACGGGAGGCAGCAGUGAGGAAUAUUGGUCAAUGGCCGGAAGGCUGAACCAGCCAUGCCGCGUGAAGGUCAGUGCCCUAUGGGCUUUAAACUUCUUUUGUGCGGGAGCAAUAAUGGUCACGUGUGGCCAGACGAGAGUACCGUACGAAUAAGCAUCAGCUAACUCCGUGCCAGCAGCCGCGGUAAUACGGGGGAUGCCAGAGUUUUCCGGGUUUGUUGGGUUUAAAGGGUGGGUAGGGUGGGAGGUAAGGCAGCGGGGAAAUGCCCCCGCGCAACGGGGUGAAGUGCCAUUGAUACUGGUUUGCUGGAAUGCGGAUGCAGUGGGAGGAAUGUGGGGUGUAGCGGUGAAAUGCAUAGAUAUCACACAGAACACCGAUUGCGAAGGCAUCUUACGAAUCCGCGAUUGACGCUGAUGCACGAAAGCGUGGGUAUCAAACAGGAUUAGAUACCCCGGUAGUC
rnacentral:rRNA from 1 species